rnacentral:rRNA from 1 species
CCUACGGGUGGCAGCAGUGAGGAAUAUUGGUCAAUGGUCGGGAGACUGAACCAGCCAAGCCGCGUGAGGGAGGAAGGUACAGAGUAUCGUAAACCUCUUUUGUCAGGGAACAAAGACUGGGACGCGUCCACGGAUGAGUGUACCUGAAGAAAAAGCAUCGGCUAACUCCGUGCCAGCAGCCGCGGUAAUACGGUGGAUGCGAGCGUUAUCCGGAUUUAUUGGGUUUAAAGGGUGCGCAGGCGGUCUGUUAAGUCAGAGGUCAAAGCACGGGGCUCAACCCCGGCCCGCCGUUGAAACUGGCAGUCUCGAGUUGGAGAGAAGUAUGCGGAAGGCGCGGUGUAGCGGUGAAAUGCAUAGAGAUCGCGCAGAACUCCGAUUGCGAAGGCAGCAGGCCGGCUCCACACUGACGCUGAGGAACGAAAGCGUGGGUAUCGAACAGGAUUAGAUACCCCUGUAGUC